rnacentral:misc_RNA from 1 species
GUCAAGUGUUCAAAGUUCGCGCGUGCACGUGACCAUUGAUAAAAAUAAACAAACAAUAUAAUAUAUAUGUGCAUUAUGAUAAGGUUUAUCAACAAGUAAAAUCAUUAAAUGUUGGCUACAAUGAUGGAAUUAAAGAUUAAACACUGUACCAAACUUAUGGUAUUCGUUGUCAUUCUUGCAGUGCUGUGGUAUUUUCAUUCUAAAGCGAGCGAGUUUGGAACCGUUUUAGUUGAAAGUGAAAGUAGAGAAGAAUUGAAGAAGGGCUUUCUUUUUACUUCGAAUAGCAAUGUCAAGUUACAGUCAGACGCUUACAGACAAACAAUUUCUAGCAGAGUGGGAAGCAGGGGUCUUCGGUGGGUACAAGAUUCCGAUUCUUAUUCGUCUUCUCAAGGGGAACUACUCCAAACCGGAAGUGAAUGGAAUUCCACUGUGCUGGAUGACAGCGGUGACUCAGAUGCAGAUUGUAGUGAUGUACAUAAAGUAGCAAUGGCAGAUCGAUGUUCAUUUGUGAACACUACAGAUGAUUGUCAGAUAGAUGAAGGUUUCCUUGACUACACAUACUUUGUGUACUGUGACUUUAGUUCUAAAUUGCUACCUCUUGGCAUUGUUAUAUUGGUUUUAUGGUGGCUGUUCCUGUUUGUAGGGCUGGCUGUAACAGCAGAUGAUUUUUUCUGUCCAGCAUUGGCUGUUAUAUCUGAUACAUUGAGACUGAGUCAUAAUGUAGCUGGGGUAACGUUUCUGGCAUUUGGAAAUGGAGCGCCUGAUAUAUUCUCGGCUAUAGCGGCUAUUGGUAAUGCUAAAGAUGGAGAUGCUGGCCUUGCUAUUGGAGCCCUGUUUGGCGCAGGCGUGUUUGUCACAACGGUUGUUGCAGGCUUUAUUGCUAUCAUCUGUCCAUUUGAUGCUAUGCAGAGACCUUUUCUGCGCGAUGUCAUAUUCUACAUUGCAGCACUUUUCUGGACUUUUUAUAUACUGUGGGAUAAAACAAUCACAAAAAUAGAAGCUAUAGGUUUCAUUCUGCUGUAUGUAUUUUAUGUACUUGUGGUUGUGAUUGGCCGGUAUAUUUACACACGACAACGUACUAACACGUCAUUACCUGGAAUUGCGGAAGUUCCUCCUGAAAGUGAGAGACCACAAUCAGCUGAUAACCCUGAUAUUCAAGAUGCAUCAGGGAUACGAAUAAUAAACCCUUUGGAUACAGUUACAGAUGGAGAGCGUCAACCAUUGUUGUCGAAUCCUGACGUGAUCAGUCUGACAGCAGUUAAGGAUGAGACCCCACUUCAAGAAUUCCUUCACAGUAUCAACCCUAUAGAUGCAGGAUGGUCGGGGUUUUCACUGUUCAAGAAAGUCUAUGAAAUAUUUAAGGCACCUAUCAUGUUUUUGCUGAUUAUAACAGUACCGGUUGUGAAUUAUGAGGAUGACAAACAUCAUUGGAACAGGCAUUUAUACUGCAUUCAAUGUAUUCUUGGGCCAAUUUUUUCUAUGGCAGCUACCAAAGUUGGAUUUAUAACAUUAGGAGGAAGUUUUCCUGUAUGGGGUCUCACACUUAUACUGAGUGUGAUGUUAGCUGCUCUUGUAUUUUUUACAUCUAAAAAUGAAGUUCAACCAAAAUAUCAUGCAGGGUUUGCGUACUUGGGUUUUGUAGUAGCUGUGAUCUGGAUCUACUCUAUUGCUAAUGAGAUUGUAAAUAUUCUUCAGACAUUUGGAGUAGUUUUCAACAUAAGCAAUGCAAUACUUGGUCUCACACUUCUUGCCUGGGGAAAUAGCAUAGGAGAAUGCUGACUCAAGAACACUUUUCUCUCAGGAACCUGACUUGGUAGGCAGGUAGGUUGUGACUGGCAGAUGACUCCUAUUGAUUUUGAGGUUUGUCACCCAGAGGUCAAGGCCAUGAUGACUUUGAGCUUGAAAUUGAUUUCAGAAUGCUAACUCAAGAACACUUUUCUCUCAGGAACCUGACUUGGUAGGCAGGUUGGUUGUGACAGGCAGAUGAUCAAUUUUGAGAUUGGUUGCCCAUUUAUCAAGGUUGUAAUAACAUUGAGCUGGAAGAUGGUUUACCAUCUAUAACUCAAGAAUGCUUUGGUUCAGGAACUUCAAACUUGGUAGGCAGAUUAUUUGUGACUGGUAGUGGACCUGUUUUGAUUUUGAGGUACUUACUUUAAAGGUCAAGGUUAUGGUGAUCUUCAGCUGCAUUUUUGCUUGAUAAUGGAAGAAUUCUUCUACUGAGGAACGUUAGACAAGGGCAGAUGACUCCUAUCAGUUUCAAAGUCUUGCUAACCUUGUGCUUAAAUCUUGUUACUGCAAUUAGAUAUUUUUUUCCUAAAUUUUCGUUCACACUUCAUUUGAAACCAUUCAGACAAUGCAUGUUUUGAUUUUUAUUGCUCUCAUUAGAUUCAGUUUUUAGCUCGACUUUUCGAAGAAAAAGUAGAACUAUUGCACUCGCCCUUGCGUUGGCGUCGCUGUUAGUUUUUGAUAGUCAGAUAUCUUUGUUACUAUCAAAGCUAUUGACUUAAAACUUAAAUUAGUUAUUUACUAUCAAAGUCUUCACCAGGAGAAAUAAUCCACAUAACUCUUGGCCUCUUGUAGGGACCACUAGAGCUUAAAAUAGAAAUAACUUUAAAUGACUUCUUCUCAUGAACUGCUGGGUGGAUCUUCAUCAAACUUGGUCUGUAGCCUGAUGGUUUUUUUCACUUGAUCCUUUUUAGGAGACACCAGAGUUAAAAAUAGAAAAAAGUAUGUUCUAAUGGAUACACAUAUUUGGGUCAUCUAAGGAAAAUAUAGAAAAAAACUUUAAAUGACUUACUUUAAUGAAAUGCUUAGGAUGUUCACCAAACUUGCUCAGAAGCAAGAUCAGAUAAUCAAGUUUCUCUUCAUCAGGUG